rnacentral:misc_RNA from 1 species
AUCGAUGACCACGAUUACGACACCAAGAUGCGUAACGUCGUGAAGUUCAUCGGCGAAGGCGACAAGGUGAAGAUCACGCUGCGUUUCCGUGGUCGCGAACUAUCGCACCAGCAGCUCGGCAUGAACCUCCUGCGCAAGGUGCAGGAUGACGUGGCUGAAAUCGCCAAGGUCGAGGCUUUCCCGCGCAUGGAAGGUCGCCAGAUGCUGAUGGUCCUUGCGCCGAAGUAGGCACUGGGCAUCAGAUCGAACCGCAAAAGGGGCGUGCCGCAAGGCGCGCCCCUUUUGUUUUGAACCGGUUAUCUACGCGUGAAAA